rnacentral:rRNA from 1 species
CACGUAGGCGGGUUGCUAAGUCAGGGGUGAAAUCCUGGAGCUCAACUCCAGAACUGCCCUUGAUACUGGCGACCUCGAGUCCGGGAGAGGUGAGUGGAACUCCGAGUGUAGAGGUGAAAUUCGUAGAUAUUCGGAAGAACACCAGUGGCGAAGGCGGCUCACUGGCCCGGUACUGACGCUGAGGCGCGAAAGCGUGGGGAGCAAACAGGAUUAGAUACCCUGGUAGUCCACGCCGUAAACGAUGGAUGCUAGCCGUUGGCGGGCUUGCUCGUCAGUGGCGCAGCUAACGCUUUAAGCAUCCCGCCUGGGGAGUACGGUCGCAAGAUUAAA